rnacentral:lncRNA from 1 species
AGAGAGCUAAAAGAAUGAGAUUUAUCAAUCAAUUAAUUAAUUAACAAGUGUUGAAUAAUUAAUUAAUUUGGUUGCUUAUUAAUAGGACCGAAUUUAAUUAAAUGAAUUAAUUAAAUAUUGGACCGGGUUAGGAGACGGGCCAAACCCGUUUAGACUUAUAUAAUUAAGCAGCCAGAAUUUGAAAAUUGUAAAGAUUUUCAUUAUUCUUGCUAGCACAAGAAAAGUAAAACUCUAGUUCUCUCUCAAUCUUGUUCCGUAUGUAGAUUCUAAUUGGAGGCUAGACAAUAGCAAACGAGUUUGCAGAAUUCAAGAAAUGUACAAUUUCUAUCUAAACACAAAAAAGAUCAUUGGUAUGAAUUGAAAUUUUUUUUGAUCGGAUUAUGAAUUAAAAUUUGUUUUAUUUUUCGCUGUACAUGAUUAUGUAAAUUUCAGCAACUACGUGGGGGCAAAUGACUAUUGUCAUUGGCACCACACUCGAGAAUUUUCUUCAUCGGGUAUUUACCUAAUACUUGAGCAUUUGUUAGACCGCAUGAAAUCUAAUCAAAAUUGACACUUGUUCCGUAGAUCUUGGAUCGAAUGUUGGUUAUUGUUAAGGGAAUAAAUCUCACAUCGGUUAAAUACUGAAAUAUUGGCCAACUUAAAUAGAUUUUGGGUCACUCCUCUUAUCAAUAUUGACCUUAUUAAGAUGGACCCCAAAUCUUAACAUAGUAUCAGAGCCCAAUAAGCUCCAACGAGCUAUUCGAUCCG